UGUCAGCGACUUGUUGACCUCCUCCUUCACCACACCGUCCGAGAACGCCAGCGGGAUACGAGCAGGACGCACCUACUUCCACCGCUCCAAUGCCUCGAUGCCGCCCCAGCCGCACCGCGCCCUGCCUUCGAGCAGACCUCCAACGGUGGUCCGGACUUCGACGGUUCUCACGCGACUCACGGGCAGCGUGCUGGGCUAGCAAGUCGCUGCGGAUCGCUGGGCGCGAACCGCGACUUCCUCGCCACGACCGUCGGCGCCGACAGCCGUGGCCAGGAUGUCGAGCCACGUCACCCGAGUUUCGCCGUCGUGAUUCGCCCGACAUUGGUUUCUGCCGGACGCUCGCUCGCCUUCUUCGACCCGCUCGAAGGCUCAAGCCGGUUACAGCUGCAAGAGAAGGAGAUCGAGGUUCGAGACUGCAUCUUGGCCAUACAAGCUUGCUCGGAAUCGCUAUUCGCUUCGCGCUGCCGCGACGCAAGCUCGCACAGACUUGCUCCUGCCUUCCGUUCGAUGCCUUGCCCGUUCUUACUACGACGAAGUCUCGUCGCUCACCCUCGGCCUGCGAAAUCCUCUACGACCUCGACAACAACUCCCCAAGAACUCCCGCCUCCCAUCCUCCUUCCAACACAACGUCAUUCGCUCGCGGGUUGACACAAUGACGCAGGGAGAAUUUGUCGGGGAUUUGAUGGAGCGGUCGCGCAGCGGAUAGCUCAACCUCUUGGGGCACUUGAUUUGGGUUGCUUGGUUCUCGGGUGUCGGACGCUCGAGCAAGGCGUGGCGAAGGGAGCGCAAGAAGCUCGGUUGAUUGUCGUAUUGCCGUGCCAGAGACUUGCAACACAGACUAGGGGUCGCCUGGCGAGCGAGAGCGCAGCGUUCAACGCCCUCUG
rnacentral:misc_RNA from 1 species